rnacentral:rRNA from 1 species
UGUUCCUACGGGAGGCAGCAGUGGGGAAUAUUGCACAAUGGGGGAAACCCUGAUGCAGCGACGCCGCGUGAGUGAAGAAGUACCCCGGUACGUAAAGCUCUAUCAGCAGGGAAGAAAAUGACGGUACCUGACCAAGAAGCCCCGGCUAACUACGUGCCAGCAGCCGCGGUAAUACGUAGGGGGCAAGCGUUAUCCGGAUUUACUGGGUGUAAAGGGAGAGUAGACGGCGAUGCAAGCCAGAUGUGAAAGCCCGGGGCUCAACCCCGGGACUGCAUUUGGAACUGUAUAGCUAG